CCAGGCCAAUGGAGUUAUGUUCCCAGGGGGAUUAUGGCUGCCUCUGUUGAGUCACACAGGUCACCAGGGAAGUGGGGGAAAGCUGGCAGUCACAGGCCUCACCCCUCUCCCACACAGCCCUCAGUCCUAAAGGCUGGUCUCACUCCCAUCCUGCCACGCAACAGCACAGGGUCUAUUUCGAGACAGCCAGUGACCAGGGCUGAGAACUUGCCCCAGACCACCAGCCUCCUCACUGAGAAAGCAAGCAGAAUCACAGUUUUUUGGAAUCUCAGGGAGCCUUCAGCGGCAAUCCAGUUCCUUCAAAGGGUCUGUGGAUUCUCUCAGUUUUCAUGGGGUGUCAGCUGUGACCCUCGAAGGAAAGGGAUCACCCUCUUUCUGACCCUAUACCACCUUCAGCAGGGAUGAAGGCAGUCAGAGAAAACUUAGUUAAAAAAUUUCUAAACUGCUUUGCUGAUUUGAUCUGGGGCCCUGGAGUGCCAACAUCCUGUGAUAGCGGCUGAUUGUUGAUGCCUGGGAGGAUACAGCAGUGACGAUCCAAAUUUACAAGACUCAACAUGGUUUUCAAAACUUCCUUUUAAAAAAGAUGUUCCUGAGUUCUGGAAUCUGAACAAAAUAUGUCUGGUUAUUAUAUAAUUCUAAUGGUCCUUGUGGAUGCUACCAUUAGAGUUCAGUUAGUGUCUCAUCUAUCACUGUAAUAUUUGUAUUGUAACACUAAUCGUGGCAAAGUAUGAUUUGAUAAAUGCUCAUUCUCAAAUCUUUUAUUUUAGUGUGUUCAUGUAAGAUUAAUGACCAUGAUGACUUGAGAUAGAAUUUUUUGAUUUGUUGCUUUCUUUGUGUCUUCCAAUAUCACACAGAUUUGCAAAGAUAUCUAUGGCACAAGGGGAGAAAAUAAUAACUUAACUAGAGGAUAGGAGUAAGGCCUUCUAUUAACAAGACACUGUUGACAUUUCUAGGUAGAUUUCAGAAUUCUCCAGGCAUGCCUGGUAGAAAUUUUAGAAAUAAAAGCCAGGAAAGAA
rnacentral:lncRNA from 1 species